CAUAUUGUACCAUAGAUCUUUCUUUUUCAUUUCAACAAGACAACAAAUGUUUUCGUUUCUUUAAGGUGUGUGUGAUUGGAACCUAGGAGGAUAAGAUUGCGUGGGACCCACAUAUUAUUCUUUCUCUCCAAAGCAGCGAAGAAAUGACAUCCAGCUCAUGACUUUUGCUAUUUUUUCAUCUAUAUGUUGCAUAGCUUUUUUUGUUGAAUAUUAAUUCAACUAAAAGAAUAAUAUUAUGAAUAUUUAAAUGCAGCUUAUUUAGUUUAAUUUUAUUUAUUAA